GACGAACGCUGGCGGCGUGCUUAACACAUGCAAGUCGAACGGAAAGGCCCUGCUUUUGUGGGGUGCUCGAGUGGCGAACGGGUGAGUAACACGUGAGUAACCUGCCAUUGACUUUGGGAUAACUUCAGGAAACUGGGGCUAAUACCGGAUAGGAGCUCCUGCUGCAUGGUGGGGGUUGGAAAGUUUCGGAGGAUGGGGAUGGACUCGCGGCUUAUCAGCCUGUUGGUGGGGUAGUGGCUUACCAAGGCUUUGACGGGUAGCCGGCCUGAGAGGGUGACCGGCCACAUUGGGACUGAGAUACGGCCCAGACUCCUACGGGAGGCAGCAGUAGGGAAUAUUGCACAAUGGGCGGAAGCCUGAUGCAGCAACGCCGCGUGCGGGAUGACGGCCUUCGGGUUGUAAACCGCUUUCGCCUGUAACGAAGCGUGAGUGACGGUAAUGGGUAAAGAAGCACCGGCUAACUACGUG
rnacentral:rRNA from 1 species